rnacentral:tRNA from 1 species
GUGAGCAUAAUUUAAACAAAAUACUAGAUUGUGAUUCUAGAAAUGAAAGAUAAUAUCUUUCUACUUACC